rnacentral:rRNA from 1 species
GACGAACGCUGGCGGCGUGCUUAACACAUGCAAGUCGAACGGAAGGGCCCUGCUUUUGUGGGGUUCUCGAGUGGCGAACGGGUGAGUAACACGUGAGUAACCUGCCCUUGACUUUGGGAUAACUUCAGGAAACUGGGGCUAAUACCGGAUAGGAGCUCCUGCUGCAUGGUGGGGGUUGGAAAGUUUCGGCGGUUGGGGAUGGAUUGGCGGCUUAUGAGCUUGUUGGGGGGGUAGUGGCUUACCAAGGCUUUGACGGGUAGCCGGCCUGAGAGGGGGGACGGGCACAUGGGGACUGAGGGACGGACCAGACUCGAACGGUAGGCAGCAGGGGAGAAUAUUGCACAGUGGGGCGAAGCCUGAUACAGCGACGCCGCGUGCGGGAUGACGGCCUUCGGGUGAUAAACCGCUUUCGCCUGAGACGAAGCGUGAGUGACGGUAAUGGGUAAAGAAGCACCGGCUAACUACGUG